UGGGGAAUUUUGCGCAAUGGGGGAAACCCUGACGCAGCAACGCCGCGUGGAGGAUGAAGUAUCUUGGUACGUAAACUCCUUUCGAUGGGGAAGAUAAUGACGGUACCCAUAGAAGAAGCCCCGGCUAACUUCGUGCCAGCAGCCGCGGUAAUACGAGGGGGGCAAGCGUUGUUCGGAAUUAUUGGGCGUAAAGGGUGCGUAGGCGGUUUGAUAAGUCUCGUGUGAAAUCUCUGGGCUCAACCCAGAGUCUGCACGGGAAACUGUCGGGCUUGAGUAUGGGAGAGGUGAGUGGAAUUUCCGGUGUAGCGGUGAAAUGCGUAGAUAUCGGAAGGAACACCUGUGGCGAAAGCGGCUCACUGGACCAUAACUGACGCUGAUGCACGAAAGCUAGGGGAGCAAACA
rnacentral:rRNA from 1 species